GAAGAAGAUAGAAAUAGGAUAUUUGCCAAAAUAUGCUAGCAGACAUGUGGUAUUGCCAUUGAAACCUCCAUCUUCCUUAAUUGAUUUACUGGGUCUGAAACUGAAACAAACACCAUCUUUGGAAAGCUGUUUCAGCUCGCAGCUCAAAUGUGGCGCCAAAAUAUACUCCGUCACAAUCACGACUCAGAUCAAAGCAUUUCCGAUGACGACGUAGAUGAGCCAGACGACGCUUGUCCAAACGACGUCGUUUCGGUAAAAACCUUAAAAGCCUCUGCCGCUGCCUCCAGCAAGGAAGAACUGCCUCUUCCAGUGCGGUUGGAUUUUCUAAAAGUUGUCACAGGAAUCUCGAAUCAAAAUUUGGCUGGGACAAGCAGCAGUUUGUCAAUUAAGGAACCAACAGAUACACCUCCUGAAGAUGAGGUUGAGAUGCCCGAAUUCAACGAGGGUGACAGCAAUAGCAUAUUGGGGGAGGUAGCUGCCAAUUCAAGUGACGAAGAAGUAAUUCAGGAUGAGGGUAACACUGUCCUGUCGAUUAGAGAGCUUCGCAAGUAUGGUCCUCAAUUCGUCAGAUACAAACAAGUUCGAGUUUCUAAUGAAAGAUCUGAAGCAGUAUUACCUUCCAAAGAAAGUUCUUCAUGCUCAGAAUUACACGCUUCCACCUCCAGAGCAGACCGAUGUGUUGUUUGGAGGAAAGCUAAGUUAAGAAUUUCAAUGUCAUCAUUGUCACACAAAUGUGGGAAUUUUGGUCCUUCAAUGUCUGAUAGAUUGCCUGAAAAGAAAGCUGAUGGACCUUGGGCUUCUGCAACCUUGGACAGUAAUCAUACAGAAGAUAAUAAUGGUGUGGAAUUAAGUUCAGAUACUGAGCCGGCUGAAGCAGAAGCCAUUGCACCAGGACCUAAUCUACCUUCAAUGGCUGAUCUAUUUGAAAAUCUCCAAGACAAAACACAUCUAGCCUUUCCUGUCUCUACGUUUCAGUAUUUUCCACAUGGUCAAACCAGAGGAAAAACAGGGCACACUGUUCAGAAGAGUAGAUCCGACCUGCCGGAUAUGAUUGCUGACAGUGAAGACUCCCCUGAUCUCGUGGAUAGUGGAUCAUCAAGUGACAAUGAGGAGAGCGAUCAACAUAUGAGGAUUACUUUCUGUGGAAAGAAAACGCAGACCAUGGCAGAUCGAUUUCAGGAAGCUUUGGGGGCUUCAUCUGUUAUUGCUGAAGGGACUCAUGUUGGUGUACAUAAUUCAUUGAGCACAGAGCUGGAAUAUUUGGAAAGGUGCAGCAGGUCAUGCAGACAGAGAAAGAAAGAGAUUUGGACUUUUGGAAAAAGCUACAAUCUGGAGCUAGACCAGAUAGUAAAACUUUUGCUUUUUCUCUGUCUGCCUUUUUCAUUCUUGUCUAAGUGAACUUGGCUGCUUUGAUGUGAAAAUCAUUUCAAGAUACUUGGAUGGAAAGCUGACUGUUUGUCAUUGUUCAUUUGGCAAGUUCAGAGAGCAUUUUCCAUCAACAAAUAACGGAGAAAGCACCAUCAUCUUUAGUCCAAGGGUUUGUGACAAUGUUGACCUUGAAGUUGGGAACUUGAUCCGUAUUCAUCCGCCAUGGUAGUAUUUGGUUGGAUUUGAUGGAGCUUCCGCAGAAAAAGAGAAGAAGGCUAUAUAGGGCAGAAAUGCUUAGAGGAUAGAGAGGAAGCUUGCACAAAUGGAAUCAGCACAAGAAUUAAAGGAGAUGACAGCGAGGAGCGACGCUUUCGCGUACCUGACGCGUACGCGUGACACGCGAAGAAGACGCGUACACGUGACAUGCACCACGUGCAGAAAACGCAGAAAACGCUAAUUGAUUCAAUUGUUAAUUCAGAUUUAAACUUUAAUUUUAAAAUAGGAAAAGAUAUUAUAUUUAGUUUUAAAAAAUAGAUUUUAAAUUAAUUAGGAUUAGAUAUAAAAGAAAAGAGGAACUUCCCUUCAGGGGAUUAUUCCAUUCCAA